GGCGCAUCCUUUCUAAGCUCUCGUGCGGCGCGUGGUAUGGCGUUCCUGGGAGCUGGGGCUUGGGAGGUCGAUGCGGCCCGGGAUCUAGGGUGUCUGCGGCAGCCUUUGGCCUGCGUUCCCGUCCGGGAGAAUGGGGAGAUGGCGAGGACUCGGUGGCCGAGUGAGGGGCACGGCCCGCCGGACCCCGCGUGAAGCGCGUCGGUGUGGAAGCCGAGCGCCGCUUGGGAUGUAGAUCUUCGCCGCAUGGCUGGGAGCCCAGCUGGGCGGAAACGAGCGGACAUCGAGGCACCAGGUGAGUGCUUGAAGCUGAGGGAUACUUCCAGAACGUGGAUACACACUUGGAACGACACGUGGGAGCACAACCUAACUUAAGGAUGUCCUUGAUGAUUUGGAAGUUUGAUCUUCAGAAGCAUGAGUGAUUUAACGCCACAUAUGUUAACACUCCACAUAGAUAAAUGUUCAUUGGUAACAAGGCUAUGAAUAAAUACUUUGAUACUCUGA